rnacentral:rRNA from 1 species
UACGUAGGGUGCAAGCGUUGUCCGGAAUUACUGGGCGUAAAGAGCGCGCAGGCGGUCGGAUCAGUCGAAUGUGAAAGCCCCCGGCUCAACUGGGGAGGGUCAUUCGAUACUGCGACUCGAAGGCAGGAGAGGGAAGCGGAAUUCCCGGUGUAGUGGUGAAAUGCGCAGAUAUCGGGAGGAACACCUGUGGCGAAAGCGGCGCACUGGACCACUUCUGACGCUGAGGCGCGAAAGCUAGGGGAGCAAACAGG